rnacentral:misc_RNA from 1 species
GAUGAAGAACGUAGCGAAAUGCGAUAAGUAAUGUGAAUUGCAGAAUUCAGUGAAUCAUCGAAUCUUUGAACGCACAUUGCGCCCAUUAGUAUUCUAGUGGGCAUGCCUGUUCGAGCGUCAUUUCACCACUCAAGCCUCGCUUGGUAUUGGGCAACGCGGUCCGCCGCGUGCCUCAAAUCGACCGGCUGGGUCUUCUGUCCCCUAAGCGUUGUGGAAACUAUUCGCUAAAGGGUGUUCGGGAGGCUACGCCGUAAAACAACCCCAUUUCUAAGGUUGACCUCGGAUCAGGUAGGGAUACCCGCUGAACUUAAGCAUAUCAAUAAGCGGAGGA